CACAAUAACCAAGGGGCUCGUCAUAACCUAAGUCUUUUUUGAGUUUUCCUUCUUUUUUUCUUUUUUCCUGGUAUUGUUCACAGUACAUAAGGAUUAAACUAUGGUUUGUUUAUUUGCAGUGGUGUUUGGAUUAGAUGGGUAACAACGCAUAUUCAUCGUAUCAAGUUUCUAUAACUAGUAAAUUCAUUUACGUCAAUUUUGACUAUAAUUUUCUAUUUGAGUAUGACGAGGAAAAUUACUUCAAUUUCUUUUCAUUUGACCAAGGGCUCAACAUAACCUUAAAUCUUUUUUGAGUUUCCCUUAUAUUUUUUUUAUGGUAUUACAUAAGGAUUGAACUAUGAUUUGUUUAUCUGCAGUGGUGUUUAGAUUAGUUGGGUAACGUGCAGAUUCAUUUUAUCAAGUUUCUAUAACUAGUAAAUUCAUUUACGUGAAUUUUGAGUAUAAUUAUCUAUUUGAGUAUGAUGAGUUUUAAACCUGUUGCGUAAAUUUCUUUUCAGCUGGUAGCUGGUUUUUUGGCAUUUCUGUUGCUUAUGGAUGAUAUGAAAAGCACAACAACCAAGGGCUAGACAUAACCUUAAGUCUUUUUUGAGUUUCCCUUCUAUUAUUUUUUUAUGGUUCUACAUAAGGAUUGAACUAUGAUUUGUUUAUCUGCAGUGGUGUUUUGGAUUAGUUGGGUAAAUUUCUUUGCUCCUUUUCAGCUGGAGUUCUCUGGCAUUUCUUUCUCCUAUGGAUGAUAUGAAAAGCAGAAGGACCAAGGGCCUCGACAUAACCUAUUUUUCUGCUACGGACUAUGAUUUGUUUAUCUGCAGUGGUGUAACACGUUUCUAUACUUCUUCCUUUUAUUAAGAGCUUAGUUCGUUUUCUUGAUUUUUUUGCUGUAUAGGUAGUUCGUUUUCUUGAAUUUUUGGGCUAUACAGGGAAGGCACGGAAUGGAUGUGAAAUGAAGUAUUAUGUUUUGUUACCUUUAAGUCUUUUUUGAGUUUCCCUUCUAUUAUUUUUUUAUGGUUUUACAUAAGGAUUGAACUAUGAUUUGUUUAUCUGCAGUGGUGUUUUGGAUUAGUUGGGUAACGUUGCAUAUUCUUCUUAUCAAGUUUCUAUAAUUAGUAAAUUCAUUUAGGUCUAUAUGAGGAUGACGAGUUUUGAACCUUCUGCGUAAAUUUCUUUGCACCUUUUCAGCUGGAGUUCUCUGGCAUUUAUUUCUCCUAUGGAUGAUAUGAAAAGCAGAAGGAUCAAGGGGCUCGACAUAACCUAAGUCUUUUUUGAGUUUUAUUUCUUCUUUUUUUUCCUGGUAUUUAUGACAGUACAUAAGGAUUGAACUAUGAUUUGUUUAUCUGCAGUGGUGUUUGGAUUAGUUGGAUAACGACGCAUAUUCAUCUUACAAGUUUCUAUAACUAGUAAAUUCAUUUACGUGAAUUUUGAGUAUAAUUCUCUAUUUGAGUGUGACGAGUUUUAAACCUUUUGCCUAUCUGGUAUUGAUCACGAAAAUAAGGAUUGGACUAUGAUUUGUUUAUCUGCAGUGGUGUAACACGUCUCUAUACUUCUUCCUUUUAUUAAGAGCUUAGUUCGUUUUCUUGAAUUUUUGGGUUGUACAGGGAAGACACACAAUGGAUGUGAAAUGAAGAUUAUGUUUUGUUACCCUUAACUUUUUUAUGGGUUUAUUCGUGACUGAUCAUUUGAUUUCGUAGUCUAACUUUGUGUUUAUGUUCACUCCCCUUCAGCAAUUGGAGUUUCUGAGAUUUGAAACCCUAAAAAGUUUAAAACGGUUGCAGCUCAGGAUAUCCCAAUUCUCUCUAUCUAUUGUUUAAUUUCUCUCUACUUGAUCUCCAAGGAUUGAAUUGUGCUCGACUAUUUUACCUUAAAGUCCUGCAGCAUCUCAUGGAGUGUGUUAUGAGGCCCUAAGGGUUGAAUUGGUGUUUGAAUUAUUUUCGCCUAAUGUCCUGCAGAGUAUGUUAUGAGAUUUAAGGGUUGAAUUGUGAUUUGUUUCCUGUUUGGAUGAUUUGCAUAGUGUCCUGCAUCCUAUGGAAUAUGUAUGGUUUUCGCACGGUCAUCGCGAGUAUGUUAUGGCCACCAUCUUCCUUGGUUAUUUAAGUCUUCAAUUUAUCUUAUCGUUCUAUAGUUCAUCCUUGAUUACCAGUUAUACUUUGUUGAAUUAUUGUUCUUCACAGGGAUGUGUGGGGGUAGGACAGGGAUGUGUGGGUAGGACUUUCCUCGUGGUUGGUUGAAAAUGAUGGAUGAGUCAUGCUUGACGGUAUGAAAAACACAAUGACAAAGGGCUCGACAUAACCUAAGUCUUUUUUGAGUUUUCCUUAUAUUUUUUCUUUUUCCUGUUAUUGAUCACAGUACAUAAGGAUAUGAUUUGUUUAUCUGCAGUGGUGUUUGGAUUGGUUACGAUGCAUAUUCAUCUUACAAGUGGUGGCUGGUUUUUUGGCAUUUCUUUUACCUAUGGAUUAUAUGAAAAGCACAACGACCAAGCAUUUCUAUUAUUUUUAUGGUAUUACAUAAGGAUUGAACUAUGAUUUGUUUAUAUGCAGUGGUGUUUGGAUUAGUUGUGUAACGUCUAUGUUCAUCGAAUCAAGUUUCUGUAAUUAGUAAAUUCAUUUAGGUGAAUUCUGAGUAUAAUUCUCUAUUUGAGGAUGACGAGUUUUAUCCUUUUGCAUAAAUUUCUUCUCACCUUUUCAGUUGGUGGCUGGUUCUCUGGCAUUUCUUUUGGCUAUGGAUGAUAUGAAAAGCACAACGACCAAGGGGCUCGACAUAACCUUCAAGUCUUUUUUGAGUUUUCCUUCUAUUUUUCUUUAUCCCGGUAUUGAUCACAAUACAUAAGGAUAUGAUUUGUUUAUCUGCAGUGGUGCUUGGAUUAGUUGGGUAACGUAGCAUAUUCAUCUUAUCAAAUUUCUAUAAUUAGUAAAUUCAUUUAGGUGAAUUCUGAGUAUAAUUCUCUAUUUGAGGAUGAAGAGUUUUGAACCUUUCGCAUAAAUUUUUUUUCACCUUUUCAGCUGGUGGCUGGUUCUCUGGCUUUUUUUUUGCCUAUGGUGAUAUGAAGAGAACAACGACCAAGGGCUCAACAUAACCUAAGUCUUUUUUUAGUUUUGCUUCUAUUAUUUAUAUUUUCUGGUAUUGAUCACCUACCACAAGGAUUGUAAUAUGUUUUUUUUUAUCUGCAGUGGUGUUUGUGUAACGUCGCAUAUUCAUCUUAUCAACUUUCUAUACUUCCUCCCUCUUAUUAGCGAUUAUCUUUUCCUUCAAUUUUUGGACUGUACAGGGUUUAUCGUUUCCUUCAGUUAAAUUCGGUUUUCGUGUUCAUUCCUUUUCAGCAAGUCCCGAGUCUGAGAUUUCUUUUGGCGGUUGAGGAACUAGAGUUUAGAAUGGUUGCACAUCAGGAUAUCCUAAUUUCUCAAUGAGUGUAUCCUCUAUUAUUUUAUUUAAUCUCAGCAGCGGUGUUUAGAUGAUUUUUGCUUAUUGUACUUCAUCUCAUGAGUGUGUUAGGAGGGCGACAGUGUCUCCCUUAAUUUUUUGAUUUAUCUAAUCAUCCGUUAUAGAUUUGUUGUAUUAUUGUUCUUUAGGGAUGUGUGGGCUUAUAGUUUUGUUGAAUUAUUGUUCUUUACAGGGAUGUGUUGGGUAGGACGUGGAAACCAUGUCGGGAUAUUUCUUGAACUGUGAAUCAUUCGUUUUUUUUCCUACUCUUACACUAGUUUUUUCUAUUGCAUUAGUUUGUAUUUGGCCAACCUUGUUGGUUCGAUUUUUAUUUUUUCUUCUUAGGCAUAACCAAAUAAAUAUUGGAGGGCUAAUGAAUGUCCUAUUUUAACAUAUGAUCACGACAAAUGGUCUCUUGGCAGCUUGAUUUUAUGAUCCGUGUCUCUAUGCACUGUGACCUUAGGCACUUUGGUGGUCUCAGGCCUAGAUAAAUUGAAAAGAAGUAUCUUGGAGUCAUUCCCUUCAUUUUAGUAGUGGUAAUUAGCAAGAGCUCAGGACUAUUUGGCUCCAAUUUUUUUAUUACAAAACUUUAUUUUGUCUUAGUUUUCUUUUUUUGACAAAUGAAUUUUCGGAAACAGUGAAUGGAGGUCCAGUGAAACUUUAGGUUUUAUUAUCUUUGCAUUCAUUAUUAUUUUCUUUGCGGUUAUUCUUUUGGCUAACCUUGUGGCUAAACAUGUAGAGUGGCAGUUCUUGUAAACAGGCACUAUAUGAGUAUGAUAGGCUUUGACAUUUGUUUUGUUGUGCCUUCGAUUAUCUUCUUCUACUUGGGUUGCAGUGACUUACUAUGAGCGGUUCCCAUGGUUUUCAAUUUUUGAAUUUACCUUAACUUUUCUUUACUCUGUCAUGUCAUGCUUUUAAGAAAAUUAGUUUUCUCAAAUCCCCAUGCUUCUGGUUGAGCUUUUACAGGAAAACUAUAGAUAUAUGGGGCAGGUUUCGGAAAUAAUUAUUGGACUUUACAGGGAAUUCAUGGGCUACCCAAAAUGAGGUGUGAAUUAUGUGAUAUGUGAAGCUCAAUGUUUUUAUUAACGGUACAUUGUAGUAUCUGAAUUAAUUUUUAACUGGCUCAACUUGUUGGUUUGAUUAUAAUCUUGGUUGUAUUUUGAUGGUGUAUGGUUCAUAAGUGGCAUUGUGAGCAUGGGACAAGUGCGGUUGGA
rnacentral:lncRNA from 1 species